UGGGGAAUAUUGCACAAUGGGCGAAAGCCUGAUGCAGCAACGCCGCGUGAGUGAUGAAGGCCUUCGGGUUGUAAAGCUCUGUCUUCUGGGACGAUAAUGACGGUACCAGAGGAGGAAGCCACGGCUAACUACGUGCCAGCAGCCGCGGCAAUACGUAGGUGGCAAGCGUUGUUCGGAAUCACUGGGCGUAAAGCGCAUGCAGGCGGACUGAUAAGUCAGGGGUGAAAGCCCGAGGCUCAACCUCGGAACUGCCUUUGAUACUGUCAGUCUUGAGUCCGGGAGAGGUGAGUGGAACUGCGAGCGUAGAGGUGAAAUUCGUAGAUAUUCGCAAGAACACCAGUGGCGAAGGCGGCUCACUGACCCGGUACUGACGCUGAGAUGCGAAAGCGUGGGGAGCAAACA
rnacentral:rRNA from 1 species